CGGACAGCACAGCUUCCGCGCCCAGCUGGUGGGCAGGCUUGGGUUACAGGCCGAGGCAGUGGCAGAGGGGCCCUGCACACCUCGUCUUCUUGCCCGCCCCGUGCGCCCAGGUGUCUGUGUGCUCACCUGCGCCCGGCUCCCUGCACUGCUGCCCCUCCUCCCUUCCCUCUGACCCACCCGCUGCGCUCCUGCCUCCCUCCUCCCUUGCGCGGUCCUGGUGGCCGAUCCUGGUGGCCCUCAGGAGGCGAUAACGUCAGAGACUCGCUGUCAGUCAGUGAGGGCGAGGGGCGCUCCCAGCGUGGGCGGACCUGGGGUCCCCGGGCUCGUCGGCCUCCUUCCCACUCAGAGUCCAGCUCUGGCCGCCGGCCUCUGCUCCGCAGCCACCGGGGCUGGCCGCCCCACCUUCCCUCCAACUCAGCCCUCCGCAGCCUCCCCUCCCGCCCGCACCCCUGCCCCGUGGGGCGGUUCACGUCCCAGCCCCACCCACUCAGCCUCGGUGAGGGACCGGCGCCCGCACACUCAGGGACGGCUGUCCCACUGCGGUCGUCCCCACGUGGGCUGCUCGGUUUGUGCUCCUGGCCUCCGGGUGUGCACAGGACACAUGAGUGGAAGUGGCAGUGCCCUAGCUGAGGUCGAGGGGACGCGUGUUUGUGCUCCCUCUCCUUCCCAGACGCUCACCAGAUGUCCCAGCUCCUGGGCGAGGCCCUUGGCGAACCUGGGAGUGAGGCAGGUGUCCCAGCAUCUGCGCCCUGUCCCUUGAACCUGAGCAAAGGAGGACCUGUGCUUCUGUCCUCUUGCCUUUCUUUAUCAGUCUGUUAAAUAGUAGGAAACGGAAUUUUGUGUGCUACAGACAGCAGUGAUUUUGGGGAGGAAUCAUAGGAUGUGUGCCGGGACUUCAGCUGGGGGUGGUGAGGUGUGUGCUGUCCCUGUGCUUCCAUGUCCUCACUGAGGCGGCCUGGCGCAGCUGCCCAGCCCCUGCUCCCCACUUCAGCCUGCCCACAUGGCAAAGGGCUGGUGGUGUGCAGGCUCUGGACAUGAGAAAGUGGCCCUAUCUCAGAAACAGAAGUGUCUUGGAGACUGACACCUGAUGUGAUAAGUGGUCUGGGGUUCUUAUUCAGACAUCCUCCAUGUGUUCAUGUCUUAUACCUGUAAACGCCCCUACCCCACUUAAAGGUAACACUUUUUCCGUGUCUGUGUUCUGAAGGUUUGUCUUAUUAAGAAAUUAAGAUAUUUCAUAAUCCUAGUUCAACUUUCAGGUUUACUGGAUUCAUGAUUUCAGGUGCUCUCUUUAUAGCUCCCUCAUGCACAACUGACUUGGGGGGAUGAGUUUUGUAUCUGAUAUUUCCGCCUUCCUAACACAUCUUCCCCUCUGUCC
rnacentral:lncRNA from 1 species